AGAACGAACGCUGGCGGCAGGCCUCAAACAUGCAAGUCUAGGGGAUGUAGCAAUACAUCACCGGCGGACGGGUGCGUAACACGUGGGAAUAUACCUUUCGGUACGGAACAACUGCGGGAAACUGCAGCUAAUACCGUAUACGUCCUUACGGAGAAAGAUUUAUCGCCGAAGGAUUAGCCCGCGUUCGAUUAGCUAGUUGGUGAGGUAACGGCUCACCAAGGCGACGAUCGAUAGCUGUUCUGAGAGGAAGAUCAGCCACACUGGGACUGAGACACGGCCCAGACUCCUACGGGAGGCAGCAGUUGGGAAUCUUGGACAAUGGGGGAAACCCUGAUCCAGCCAUGCCGCGUGAGUGAUGAAGGCCUUCGGGUUGUAAAGCUCUUUUACCCGGGAAGAUAAUGACUGUACCGGGAGAAUAAGCUCCGGCUAACUUCGCGCCAGCAGCCGC
rnacentral:rRNA from 1 species